AGCUUCGGCCACACCGCCUGGUUCCACGCCCGAUCUCGUUUGAUCUCGGAAGCUAAGAUAGGUUGGGCCUGGUUAGUACUUGGAUGGGAGACCGCCUGGGAAUACCAGGUGCUGUAACUA
rnacentral:rRNA from 1 species